rnacentral:rRNA from 1 species
AAAACGACUCUCGGCAACGGAUAUCUCGGCUCUCGCAUCGAUGAAGAACGUAGCGAAAUGCGAUACUUGGUGUGAAUUGCAGAAUCCCGUGAACCAUCGAGUUUUUGAACGCAAGUUGCGCCCCAAGCCACURGGCCGAGGGCACGUCUGCCUGGGUGUCACGC